UAUUGCACAAUGGAGGAAACUCUGAUGCAGCGACGCCGCGUGAGGGAAGACGGUCUUCGGAUUGUAAACCUCUGUUCUCUGUGAGGAUGAUGACGGUAGCAGAGGAGGAAGCUCCGGCUAACUACGUGCCAGCAGCCGCGGUAAUACGUAGGGAGCGAGCGUUGUCCGGAUUUACUGGGUGUAAAGGGUGCGUAGGGGGCUGUGCAAGUCAGUAGUGAAAUCCAUGGGCUUAACCCAUGAACUGCUAUUGAAACUGCACAGCUUGAGUGAAGUAGAGGUAGGCGGAAGUCCCGGUGUAGCGGUGAAAUGCGUAGAGAUCGGGAGGAACACCAGUGGCGAAGGCGGCCUACUGGACUUUAACUGACGCUGAGGCACGAAAGCGUGGGUAGCAAACAGG
rnacentral:rRNA from 1 species